UUUGACUGUGGACGUAUGACAUAUCAUACACUAAAAGAAAAUGCUUUUAUUUGUAUAAUAGAAAGAUUUUCUGAUAAAGCGAAUAACAUUUUGACGACAACAUGUGAAAGUCGCUAAAAUGUGAUAAUGUGCAUCCCCAUCUGCUGUGAUUGUCGUCUUUUGGUACCUUUCCUUCUUUUUGUAGGACUUAUGUACUUAAUAAUAAUUUUAAUGUAAUGCCGGCACUGGGUUUAAAAGCAGUUCUUUUUGUUCUAAUACUGAGCAAGCAAACAAGCUAGCAAGCGAACACCUGACGGGAAGUGGUUACUUAUCAACUUACAAAACCGUGACGUCCUGCAAAAUGCCACAGGCUGGUCCUGAAUGAAUCUUUUCACACCCUUUUUGUAGAUCUCCAUGUCGUCAAAUGACUUCACUAUGUAUAUCGACCAUAUUCUUAUUCUAUUUUACAUAUUGCUUAUAUAGCAUUCGUUCAAGUCGAAUGAUGCUACUGUUGCCUUGGCAAGAGACGUGGGUAUAUCACGACUAGGAUUAGCUCUUUGUUCCUGUUCAAGAAUGACCUGAUCCUAUUGGCAUUAUGUUGUGAUGAAUAAGGAAGAGAUGAGACAGGAUUUCCAUCAACAAGCUUGUCCACUUUCAUGUGAGUUGUCAAUAGACGUUUCAAGUAUAAAAGGCAAUACUUCUACUGAUAAUAAUUUUAUGAACUUUCUUAUUGAGUUGAUCUGAUUAUGGUGUCGGUAUGAUAAUAGGACUACUUAUUUCAAAAAUUCCACUUCCCAAAAUUGUUAUUUUGGAAAGUUGUCCUAUGAGAAUUGUCUAUUAGUAAAGUAGUUAUUUUGAGAAGGUCCGUAUACCUUUGGACCUUAUGAAGCAACAGUAUACAAUUUUGAUUGACUUCGAUAGACAAAAAGCGAAAUUAUGAUUGUUAUUUUCUAAAUUUGGUAAUAAAUUGCAAUUACGUGUAGUUUUUUGAAAAUAACCUAUUGCUCAUUAUUAUAUACCAGCCGCCCAUCUCGUCUUCGCUCGGAUAAAGUCAUCAUUUGAAAACACCCUAUAUUACUGACGUAUCCUGAAGAAACGUUCGGGUUUCGUCUUUCUGUGCCAAAUUUUAUCAAAAUCGGUCCAGUUUUUGAGUUUAUUCAUUACAUAAAAAAAUAAUCAUAAUUUUAAAUUAAUGAAGAGUUAUUUUUUCAGUAAAUCAAAACUUUAUUAACGAGGUCGCUGGUUGGAUUCGUAUAGUUUUAUGUUACGAAAGCUUUAAUGUAAUUACAUAUUUUUAAUUGUUUUUUUAUACUGUAACAUUAUUAAUUAAACUCAAAAACAUGGUGAAUUUGGCAUUUAUCUCAUUGUAAUAUUUUAUAAGAGGGUACCGAAUUAGUAUGUAAAUAAAAGUAAUUUUUUCCUAUG